GAUAGCCUACGGGGCGCAGCAGUAGGGAAUUUUCGUCAAUGGGCGCAAGCCUGAACGAGCAAUGCCGCGUGAACGAGGAAGGUCUUCGGAUCGUAAAGUUCUGUUGAAGGGGAAAAAGAGCGGAGAGAGGAAAUGAACUCCGAUUGAUAUUACCCUUCGAGGAAGUCACGGCUAACUACGUGCCAGCAGCCGCGGUAAUACGUAGGUGGCGAGCGUUAUCCGGAAUGAUUGGGCGUAAAGGGCGCGUAGGCGGUCUGCUAAGUCUGGAGUGAAAGGUACCGGCUCAACCGGUACAGGCUCUGGAA
rnacentral:rRNA from 1 species